UGGUGAGUUUCACCUGUUCCUCGUUAGUUUCCAGUCAGUCCUCAGUUUGUGAGUUGGUCUGCGUUUCCUGCGUUUUCAUGUGUCUUUUCCGUCGUCCUGGAUGUCCCCCGUGUCUCCGUGUACUUUGGUUACCUUUCUGGACUCAUUUUUUGGUCUUUUGGAUCACCCUCAUUUGUUGAACAGUGGACCUAUCACUGCGCAGGUUUACUCAUCAACUCACCCGUGGAGCCCCUCGAUUUGAAGGGAUGCUACAUUAGUUCUGGUAGCUGAAAGCAUAAGAGGAGCUGUGGGGGACGCGCUGUUGUGACAGCCUGCUAUAUGGAGCAAUUUGAAAGGAUGCCUGGAAACCCUCUCACCGGUUCUCACGCGACACAGAGACGUCAGUGAAGUAACAUGAAGAGAUACCUGUCCGGUUAGAGUGCUCUCUGUAGCUUGUGUCUGUACUCAGCCAAAGAUCGCUUGUGAAGAAAGAAGCUCCACUCUGUAACACCAAGUAACUUCAUGAAAAUUGAGGCGUGUCAGGUUAGGUAGUCAGUUGUAUUAAAGACAGGCUUUUAUUUCUAAUUUGCUCAUGUUGUUCACAUUUAAACGUGAAGUUUCUCUGAUCGGUGAUGUCCUCCUCCUCCUAAGUUCUUGUCACUACAUUAUGCUGUUAAUACAAACUCCUGAAGGAGAGAGUAAAAUGAAGACCAGUGUGUGAGAUGAUCGGCCAUGUCAGGCUACAAAGGAAGCUCAGAGAGGCAGUGUAGGCUCCUUGCAGCUUAUGCGUUACAGUCGCCAUCCAGUGGUGGGCAACAGUCACUGUUGACUUUUUCUUUCGUGUAAUGUACUUUGUAGGUGUCCAUUAUCAGGAAUAAUUGGACAACCUGCAACCAAUCAGAAUUGAGGAUUCCUCCUGACCAUGGUAUGAGCAUCAUUGGUAUGUGGAUUAAAUGAAAGGAACCAGGAGUAUCCACUCUUGGUCUUUGCCCUCAUCUUGUGUUUGGGUCAGCCUUUAUUUGUCUAGAGCUUUUAUUAAAGACUUGGCUUUAACUGCAGGCUGUUAUUUGCAAAAUGUACUUACAUGAAAGUAUCAGACUGAACUUCGUGUUUUCCUCUUCAUAUCACAGCUGUACCACUUUAUUGCAGCUGGAGUUUCUUAUGCCACUCGGUGGUGGUGAGGCAGGUAGCGCCAGUCUCGCAUGAGACACCAAGGCAUCCGCUCUGUUGAAAUAAAUCUUUCAGUCACAUGAGCCCUUGACGUAUGUUCAGUGCUCUUGAACUCUGCUGUACCUGUUGCACCUACUGCUCCGGUCUACCUUCUUUGGCUUUCAUUAGAGAUUUCAUUAAACAGCUGUCAUCACACUGUGAGAUUCUUGAUGCUUCUGCCCUUUGAUAUCCACCACGAAGGAAAUUCAAAGGACGCCUGGAAACACUCUCAUCCCUCCUUACAUGACACAGCAACACCGUCAGGCCCCGCCACAGCUUAAAAGCCAGUGUUGCAUUCAGGCUCCCUGAAGUCUGAGAAGACUUAAUGUGCUCAUUCCUUGUGUUGUUUGAUCAGAAAUCAGAGGCCAGCUCUGUUCAAGUUGCCGCUUGUCCUUGGACUUUUUAAAUGAUGGAGAGAGGAAAGAAAAAAAAGGGAUUCGAAUAGAAUGAGAAGUUCAGCUAUGUUCAAUCUGCCAUCAUUACUACAGUCCCCGCGUGAAUAGAUGGAGUCCAGUCCAUGUGUUUGUGUGUGUACCUGUUCGUGUGCAGUGUCGGCACACGUCACUGUACACUCAAAAGGCUCAUUAAUUAUAGUUGGAGUCAUUAUGGAGAUAAGUGUGAGUCUGACUAUUGGUGCUGAAGAUAAGAAGAAGAAUUACCUGUUUUGGUGCUUCUGCUUUCUAAUCAGCUGCCCAUUAGAGAUAUCAGGGGACUUUUAUUAUCACUUCUGUGUUCUUCCAUGUCUCUUUUUCUUUUAUUUCUCUGUUCGGCAUUUCUCCAUCGUUCGAUGUGUCCUCGCCACCAAGUCUG